UUGAACGCUGGCGGCAUGCUUUACACAUGCAAGUCGAACGGCAGCACGAAAGAGCUUGCUCUUUUGGUGGCGAGUGGCGAACGGGUGAGUAAUGCAUCGGAACGUACCGAGUAAUGGGGGAUAACUGUCCGAAAGGAUAGCUAAUACCGCAUACGCUUUGAGAAGGAAAGUGGGGGCUCUUCGGACCUCACGUUAUUCGAGCGGCCGAUGUCUGAUUAGCUAGUUGGUGGGGUAAAGGCCUACCAAGGCGACGAUCAGUAGCGGGUCUGAGAGGAUGAUCCGCCACACUGGGACUGAGACACGGCCCAGACUCCUACGGGAGGCAGCAGUGGGGAAUUUUGGACAAAGGGCGCAAGCCUGAUCCAGCCAUGCCGCGUGUCUGAAGAAGGCCUUCGGGUUGUAAAGGACUUUUGUUAGGGAAGAAAAGGAUAGUGUUAAUACCAUUAUCUGCUGACGGUACCUAAAGAAUAAGCACCGGCUAACUACGUG
rnacentral:rRNA from 1 species